GCGCUCGCGCGCCGUGUCGCACCCUUCGGGUGCUGGCGCUCCGCGAGGGCGCGGCACGAGCCGCGACGGCCUGUCGGCCUUGCGAGGCUCUGCCUCGAUGCCGGCUACCAUCUGCGCUUGGGGCUUAGGGCUUGUAGCUCAGUUGGUUAGAGCGCGCGCUUGAUAAGCGUGAGGUUCGGAGGUUCAAGUCCUCCCAGGCCCACCAUCUCUGAUGGAAGCUGGGUGGCUUCCUAUCUCCUCUACAAAAGGUAUCAGGGGCCGUAGCUCAGCUGGGAGAGCGCCUGCUUUGCAAGCAGGAUGUCGUCGGUUCGAUCCCGUCCGGCUCCACCAUUACCUUUGGUGUUGAGUAGAGAUGAGGUGUCAGAAAAAAAGUCAUUCGUAAAAAAGGUUUGUGGUGAGCGUCUGGCUUGCCGCUUGUUCUGUUUGACAUUGUAAAGAGAAGAUUUGUUCGAACUUCAUGGCAGUAAUGCCGUGAUUUGUCGCGGGAGACGCUCAAUCUCCCGCAUAUGAUGGGCUUGCCUAACCGCACCCUCGAACCGAUCUCGAGAAGCUGGUCUUUUUGUGCCAAU
rnacentral:tRNA from 1 species